rnacentral:rRNA from 1 species
UACGGGGGGGGCAAGCGUUGUUCGGAAUUACUGGGCGUAAAGAGCUCGUAGGUGGUUUGUCGCGUUGUUCGUGAAAACUCACAGCUCAACUGUGGGCGUGCGGGCGAUACGGGCAGACUGGAGUACUGCAGGGGAGACUGGAAUUCCUGGUGUAGCGGUGGAAUGCGCAGAUAUCAGGAGGAACACCGGUGGCGAAGGCGGGUCUCUGGGCCUGUACUGACGCUGAGGAACGAAAGCGUGGGGAGCGAACAGG